rnacentral:rRNA from 1 species
AUUGAACGCUGGCGGCAUGCCUUACACAUGCAAGUCGAACGGCAGCACGGGAGCAAUCCUGGUGGCGAGUGGCGAACGGGUGAGUAAUAUAUCGGAACGUGCCCAGUCGUGGGGAGUAACGUAGCGAAGACUACGCUAAUACCGCAUACGAUCUAUGGAUGAAAGGCGGGGGAGUCGCAAGACCUCGCGCGAUUGGAGCGGCCGAUAUCAGAUUAGGUAGUUGGUGAGGUAAGGCUCACCAAGCCGACGAUCUGUAGCUGGUCUGAGAGGACGACCAGCCACACUGGGACUGAGACACGGCCCAGACUCCUACGGGAGGGCAGCAGUGGGGGAAUUUUUGGACAAUGGGCGCAAGCCUGAUCCAGCAAUGCCGCGUGCAGGAUGAA